UUUUAAUUUAUAUUUUAUAUUAUAUUUAUAUAACUGUGCAUACUAUCAAUCACAAUCGCUCAGUUUUAUGGCGGUGCAUUGAAAUGUAGGUACGAAGAAUGAGGCCCGUAGAAAUGAGUGGGGUGAUUGGUUAGGUGGAUGGCCCAUGGAGCACGCAAUAUAAGGUAUGGUUUUCCCUCUUCUGAGGGGUUAUAGGAGGGUACCACAGAACUGCAUGGCCGGAUCCCUGUUGAACGUAGGUUGCGCACUACAAGAACACCGAGGUCUGUGCCAGGGCAUCAUCAAUUUGAAGCCCUUUGGUAGCCUAGUUUAUCAGCUAGCCUAGAGGUUUUCUCCUGAAAAACUAUGCAUAGCUAAAAAAGCAGUGGACUUCUUUCAUGAAAAAUUGAAAGAAAGAUAAAAAAAAAAAAAAAAGAAAGGAAGGAACUAAAAACACAAAGGACAAACUAAAUAAAAUGUCACCGGCCAAAGUUCAAUACAGAGCCCCGUCUGACACCUUCACCAAAUAUUCCAAAAGCAUGCAGGGUCUGACCGCCACAGGGUGACACGUGCACAAGUGGACCCACCCACCCUUCCUGUUCGUGCGAACACCUUGUGGUCUUCAAAACAUACAGCGAAGAGAGAGAGAGAGAGAGAGAGAUUGCUUUUUCUUUACCUUCUCCAUCCUGAAAUUCUCUAAAGAUAUCGUCACCUCCCUUUUGUUUCUCCUCCCUCCAUCAACCAAGUCAGAAAACACUGCCUCAAAUCUCUACUUUCCCACAAAUUCACCCUCAUGAUAAGGGUUUAGAGAAUCACUCUUGUCUUGGUCGAGCGAGCCAUAGGGAGCUCAGUGCACGGAGGCGGUGGAAGUACUCAGCGAUGGCCAGCAAGCAUCGGGCCAUUUGACGGGUGGUCAAAAUGUGGUGAAGCCGGUGGAGUGUCUGAUGCCUCAGAUUAUCUGCCUGUAAGAAUGCAUUUGCUUGGAAUUAGUAUUCACUCUCUUGGUACAUGCAUAGAUUAAUUUAGAUACUUUUUCAUGUGGGCUAGUUAUUACCAUGUCAUGAUUGGAAGUAUAAAUGCUCCAUCAUAAUUCAGUUUGCGAAGAAAAUGUGGUGAGGAAAAGUAAAAUGAGGAAAGAUGCUGAAAAGUUUCCCAUAUUUGGUGAGGAGCAAGUAUAUAUAUGAGUGGUGUUCUUGUCUCCUUGAGAUGAACAAAUUUGCUAUUUCGACGAACAAGUCAGCAUUGUG